rnacentral:rRNA from 1 species
UGGGGAAUAUUGGACAAUGGGCGCAAGCCUGAUCCAGCCACGCCGCGUGAGUGAUGAAGGCCUUCGGGUCGUAAAGCUCUGUGGAGGGGGACGAAUAAGUCGGAGCGAACAGCUCCGAUGAUGACGGUACCCUUUUAGCAAGCACCGGCUAACUCUGUGCCAGCAGCCGCGGUAAGACAGAGGGUGCAAACGUUGUUCGGAAUUACUGGGCGUAAAGCGCGUGUAGGCGGCUCUGAUAAGUGAGGUGUGAAAGCCCUGGGCUCAACCCAGGAAGUGCACUUCAAACUAUCGAGCUUGAAUGCUGGAGAGGAAAGCGGAAUUCUCGGUGUAGAGGUGAAAUUCGUAGAUAUGCGGAGGAACACCGAUGGCGAAGGCAAUCCCCUGGGCCUGCACUGACGCUCAUGCACGAAAGCGUGGGGAGCAAACA